UCACCCGCCUCCUCUAUUCCUCCUUCCAGUGCCCGGCUUUAGUCCUCUCCCGCUCGCCGCUGAGUGAGGUUUUUUCUUCCGGACCGAGUUGCCUAGUUGUCGCCGCAGAGCUUUUGCUUGCUGCUGCCGCUGUCGCAACCACCACUGGGCUGCUUUGCCGCGACCCCGUCCCGCCGCCACUCCCCCAGCCUCACACAAGAUGUCAGAGGAUCUAGCAAAGCAACUGGCAAGCUACAAAGCUCAACUCCAGCAAGUUGAAGCUGCACUCUCUGGAAAUGGAGAAAACGAAGAUUUGCUAAAAUUAAAGAAAGAUUUGCAAGAAGUUAUAGAACUAACCAAAGACCUUCUGUCAACUCAACCUUCUGAAACGUUGGCAAGUUCAGACAAUUUUGCUUCUACUCAGCCCACUCAUUCAUGGAAAGUAGGAGACAAGUGUAUGGCAAUCUGGAGUGAAGAUGGACAGUGUUAUGAAGCGGAGAUUGAGGAGAUAGAUGAAGAAAACGGCACUGCUGCAAUCACUUUUGCUGGCUAUGGCAAUGCUGAAGUGACUCCACUGUUGAACCUCAAGCCUGUAGAAGAAGGAAGGAAGGCAAAGGAGGACAGUGGCAACAAACCCAUGUCAAAAAAAGAAAUGAUUGCCCAGCAGCGUGAAUAUAAAAAGAAGAAAGCUUUGAAAAAAGCACAGAGAAUAAAAGAACUUGAACAAGAAAGAGAGGACCAGAAGGUGAAAUGGCAGCAGUUCAACAACAGAGCCUAUUCUAAAAACAAAAAAGGCCAGGUAAAGAGGAGUAUUUUUGCUUCACCUGAGAGUGUAACUGGCAAAGUUGGAGUAGGAACUUGUGGAAUUGCUGAUAAACCUAUGACACAGUAUCAAGAUACCUCUAAAUACAAUGUUAGGCAUUUGAUGCCUCAAUAAUCAGAAAAACUGUUGGAUUUCAUCUCUGCAGGGCUUUACAUUUACCUUUUUAUCCUUAUAUUUUUCUAAAGGAUUUUUGAGUUGCAAGUUAAACUGAAGUUUUACUGCAGUGGAGAGGAAAAGCAUAGCAGGUAAAAUAACAGCCCUGUACUCACUUUAGCAAGAUGCAGUGAAUUUAUGACCAAAGAAACAGAAUUCAGGCUUGGAGGAAACACUUGACUCUACAUCCUGGGAAAACUAGAGUUGAAGCCUGAGAUCAGUAGCUAGGCUGGUCUUUAAUAGAUGGCUAUUUAGUGUUUCCCAGUAUCACAGAACACUCAUCCAACCUACAUUUGGGAAACAAAAUCAAGACACCCUAUCCAACAGAGCAUGCUGAACUCAAUUAAAACAAAAUAAAAUGAGAGACUGUUGCAGCCAAAUGGACUAGAGAUGUUACUAAGAAAGUCCCUGUAACUCUGGGAAAGAGAGCUGCCAGAGAAGAACAAGAAUGGUACUUGAAUCCUCAAAAUCUUGUGAGCUCUAGUUCACCUCUGGGAUCUUUUAUUGUGGUGUGAGGCCUGAUGUAGUGGGAGCUACAGAUGAGCAGAUCAGUAAGAUUCAAACAAUUUCUUUUCUGGUUGUUUUUUGUCCUUUAAUUCUGCCAAAGACAAAUGUUCUGGGGCAGAUGUAAAGAGAAAUGAAGGGCACGGUACUUUAAAAUAUAGACAUAAAAAUUAACAUCACCAGUGAUAAAACAUAUAAACAUAAUGUAUCUUCCUGAUACAAUGAAUUGAGAAGGGCACAACAUCACUUCUGUGAUAUUUCUUCCCCCAAAUGUAUAAUACCUCAAUCUAAUGAAAAAACAUCAGACAAACCCAAAUUGAGGAACACUGCAUAAAAUGACCAAUAUUCUGCAUAUGUGUCAUGGUCAUGAAAGAAAGACUGAAGAAAUAUCUAAUGCAAUGUAGGAUACUGCACUGGAUCCUGGAUCAGACAAAGGACAUUAUUGGGGAAAGUGGUGAAAUUUGAAUAAGGUUUAUAGAUUAAUUAAUAGUAUUGCAUGAAUGUUAAUUUCCUCGUUUCAAUAACUGUAUUAUGGUUACGUAAGAUAUUAACAUUAGGGGAACCUGGGUGAAGGGUAUACGAGAACUCAACAAUUUUCUACAGAAAACUUACAACUUUAAAAUUGUUUCAAAGUGGAAAAUUUUCAAUAUACAUAUAAUCAAGAAAAAAAAUUCUAUAAUUCAUACAGGCAUUGCUAGACAAUGUUGUGACUACAUAAAAUCUAGAAUGCUACAUUCAGUGCUGGCAAAAAAGGAAGCAAAUACAAUGCCACCCAACCUCCCCUCUCUAAAUUCAGAUACAGGGAUGCUAGUGUUUCAUUA